rnacentral:lncRNA from 10 species
CAUGUAAUUGAUAUAAAGAAUUGCCAAAGAGACUUUUUAUAUUCUUUUUUGCAUACUGUCUUCCAAAUAGGGUGUGUAGUUUAUACUUAGAGUACAUCACAACUCCAGCCAGCCAUAUUUCAGGUGUUCAGUAGCCUCUUGGGCGUGGUGAAUACCAAAUCGGUCAGAGCAGGUGUAUAGAGGAGGCUAGACAUGGCGAUCAAAAGUGCAGCCUGCAAUCCAGAUGCUUGAGUUUGAAUAUUGGCCUCAUCACCUUAGCUGUAUGACCUCAUCUGUAAAACAAGAAUACUUAAGUAAUACCAUCCUUAAGCCGUUGGUAUGAGGAUAAAAUAAAAUAGUCCUUGUAAGGCUUUUUGCAAGAAUUCUGGCAAAUAUUGUGCUUAAUAAAUGUUAGCUAGGGUGGUCACUUUAUAAUGCAUGAGCUCUAUACUUAAAAACAUAUGUGGUCCUGAACAAGUUAUCUUACCUCUUUGAAUAUUAGUUUCCUUCUCUGUAAAACAGGGGUGAUAAUAAUACUUCAUUGAGAAGAUUAACUGGUACAAACAUAGCACUUAAUAAAUGUUCGUUUCUUUCUCCUUGACUUUAGGUGCCAAUGAACAGAGAAAUAGCCAAAGGGCUCGCUGAGUGGGAGCAGAGGUAAAUGGGCCUGGAUAAUUGGAAAACUGGAUAGUCACGAGGUUAACUAUGCCACAGGCAAGAAUCCAGAUGGUUCCAACCUACCUCAGCCAGAUGACGUGAAACAAGGUCCCAGCUUGAACACUCUGAGUUUUGAACAGAUAUGUCUGAGAGGACAUCUGCCAGAAGCCUAUUUGCAUGAGGAACUUAGAAACCUCCAGGAGAAAGCUCAGACUGAAGGAAAGAGGAGUCGGCUUGCCAACUGCAAGGCACCAGACAAUAAAUAAUGCCUUAGUGGUCAAUGGAAAGGUUGGGAUUUUUAGAACCUAUGGUUCCCAGUGCUUAGCUUUGUCUCCAUGUCCAACACCCCCAUGUGAAUCCUACAGAAAGUUGUGGGGCAGAGGGGCAAAAAAAAUAAAGCUAUGUUUCCCUAAAAAAUCUCUAGUAUUUAGGGAUAUCAAGGCACACUGUCUUGGUCCAUUCAGGCUGCUGUAAAAAAUACUUUAGACCAAGUGAUAUGCAAACAGCUGAAAUUUAUUGCUCACAGUUGUGGGGCUGGGAAGUCCAAGAUUAAAGUGCCUGUAGAUUCUGUGUCUGGUGAGGGCCUGUUCCUCACAGUGGCUCCGUCUCCUGUGUUCUCCCACGGUGGAAAGGGCAAAUGAGCUUCCUCUGGCCUCUUUCAUAAGGGCAUGGAUCCCAUUUGUAAGGGUGAAGUCCUCAAGGUCUAAUCACCCCCAAAGACCCUAUCUUUUAUUACUAUUGCAGUGGGGAUUAGGCAUCAACAUAUAAAUCUGGGGGAGACACAAACAUUCAGACCAUAGCAUACACUGAGGGGAUUUCCCGUUGCCCUCCCAAGUCAGCACCCACUACAACAGAACACCCUGAGGCUGCAUAGCUUGGGGGCACCCACCAGCUGUAAUGGGAGACAAUCAUAGCUGAAGGGCAUGGUGGUGCCGAACUUAAGGGGACAAGGGGAGGAAAAGGGGAAAAUGGGUAACUGUCCCACGGAAGUGGACCAAUUCAUUUUGCUUAGGAUCAUAUAUGGUGUUUGCUCUAUGAUCUCCAGAAUUUUUUUUUUUUUUGUUCAGACAGAGUCUCGCUCUGUUGCCCAGGCUGGAGUGCAGUGGCACGAUCUCGGCUCACUGCAAGCUCCGCCUCCUGGGUUCAUGCCAUUCUCCUGCCUCAGCCUCCUGAGUAGCUGGGACUACAGGUGCCCGCCACCACGUCCAGCUAAUUUUUUGUAUUGUUAGUAGAGACGGGGUUUCACCGUGUUAGCCAGGAUGGUCUCGAUCUCCUGACCCUGUGAUCCGCCCGCCUCGGCCUCCCAAAGUGCUGGGAUUACAGGCAUGAGCUACCAUGCCCGGCAAUCUCCAGAAAUAUUUAAAGCACUUUCCAGGAAAUUGCAGUCCUAAGUGACCAAGUGUGAGAAAUGCCGGUGACUUUUAGGUUAUUACCGUCAAAAUGCUCCAGAUAUAUUUACAUGUUGCGAAGGCUGGAUAAUCUUGACUGGAAUAACACGAGUCCCACUUGCUGGUGUCUCAGAGGUCAAUGGCUAUUUCAAGGGAGCAAAUAUGGCAAGGUUGUUUCAACAAAUAUUUAGUGGGUGUUAUUUGCCUGGCCUUGUCUAGGCACUACAGACACAAAAAGCGAGGCAGAUACUGUGUGCGCAUUUGCAAAUCUCAGUCUAGUGAGGAAGGCAAGCUCUUCCUCAUCAUCAAUGCCAAUUCACAAUGAGGCUAAAGAAGCAAAUACAAAGAAGUAUCAACAAUGAGCCCAGGAGUGAGGAUCAUCCUUAAGGAUAAACCUUGUGGUCAAGGUUUAACACUUU